AGCAGCCGCGGUAAUUCCAGCUCCAAUAGCGUAUAUUAAAGUUGUUGCAGUUAAAAAAGCUCGUAGUUGAAUUUCGGGAUCAAAUUGUCGGUCGUGCCUCGGUACGUACUGGUAUUAUUGGUUCCUCCCUUCUGACGAACCACGAUGUCAUUAAUUUGGUGUCAUGGGAAAUCAGGACUGUUACUUUGAAAAAAUUAGAGUGUUUAAAGCAGGCUCGCGCUUGAAUACAUUAGCAUGGAAUAAUGAAAUAGGACGUUUGAUUCUAUUUUGUUGGUUUCUAGGAUCGACGUAAUGAUUAAUAGGGAUAGUUGGGGGCAUUAGUAUUCAAUUGUCAGAGGUGAAAUUCUUGGAUUUAUUGAAGACUAACUACUGCGAAAGCAUUUGCCGAGGAUGUUUUCAUUAAUCAAGAACGAAAGUUAGGGGAUCGAAGACGACCAGAUACCGUCGUAGUCUUAACCAUAAACUAUGCCGACUAGGGAUCGGAUGAUGUUAAUUUUUUAAUGACUCAUUCGGCGCCUUA
rnacentral:rRNA from 1 species